UGUGACACGUCUCAACAACAAAAAAGCCAUAACAUUUUCUUCUUCCUCCAUGAGUUCGUCCUCACAGCCUUGGUGGCGCCACCGAUCUCCACCGCCGCCUCGGUCCCUCCCGUCGGCAUGAACAAAUCCUUCGCCAACAUCUCCGCCUAGCCCCACCAGUUCGUCUCCCUCAACACGCUCCAUUGACCUCCCCCCCCGAUCGGCCGAUCCAAGAUCCCACGGAGCCGCCCUCCUUUUUUGCCAAGACGGCGGAGCUCGUCAGACGGUUCCGGGAGUAGGUCCAGGCGUCCCUCGCGGCGCGCUACUAGCGUUCCGCGCCAUCAGGUCCCCAAGUUGGCCUUGACAUGAAAUGGGGAACCAGAUGGAGGGCCAAUCCCGGCGGUCUGUUAGUUCAGAACAUGUCACAAGAGGUAGCCCUCUCUCUGGUGUACCUCCGAGCCCUAUGGACAUCCUUCCUGAAGGUAUCGUGGUCUGUUGCACGACAUCCUGGCGUUGAACACCCCCUAUGCCCGCAUCUCCCCUACCGGGUGAUCCUCAUCGCUCGACAUGCCGUGUGAACUAACUGGUAUAUUAGGCAGUUAACUGAACUUGGUGAAGCGACGCAUCUGAGAUCGAUUGGCGUAAUUGAUAUUAUGUACUAGAUAUUGGAUCAUAUAUACGGCUUACGCUCAGUGGUGAUCUGUUUUCUAAUAGAUACAUACGUUAUGUACCAUCUGACUCAUGUUACUGUUGUGUUAGUGAGAUACAGUCUCGAUGUUAGGCCAGGUAAUAUACACUCUGUUUGGCAGUUUGUGUGUUUCUUGAAUGACUGUAACCUCAUGCUGCUACGUUUGCAUUGCGUGCACCAGUGCAUGCGUAAUGUGGUCACCGAUUCCAUGUUUUCUUCUGCUUUUUUUUUCUUUUUUUAUUAUUAUUGCUGCCAGAUGUUGUAACCCAAAGUAGUU